GCCAUGGCUUGGCCGCGCGCUCACCCCAAUGUUUUGCACCCCCGGCAAUAUGGCGGAAUAAACCUUGAAAGGGCCUAUUGCCCAAUCUCGGGGAAGGAACGCGAGGCUCUGGGAUAAUCCGUUGCCGUAAUCCAUGCAAACAAUAUUUAAAGUGUCUAUACAGCCAACAGCAGGCUAUUUAGUAAACCGUCACUUGUCACACCAUGAAUUUUCAAAACUUUUAUGUAAUCAGAUGAAGCAAAAGUUCUGUCACUUGUUGUUUACACUUGCCAAUGUUAACUGUUGAGUAACAUACAAAUUAUUCGAGGAACAUGCAUUACUGUAGCAAAGAGUCAAUAAUAUGUUGAAGACCACUGAAUAGUAGAGAAUGUUUUGAAGGUCAUGAGUGAAGUAUAUAUUAAUUCAAUUUCAAUCCUGUGCAGUUAAUGAUAUACCACACGUCACUGUUCACUUUAACACAACAUACAUGUACCCACACGAAAACAAUUUUUGUUGUGGGAGAAUAUCGGUUUGAGUAAAGAUAUCACAAGUUUAGUUUUGUACAUUGUGUGCCAUUGAUCUGAUCCAUCCAUAUAUAUAAUAAUCAUUGUAGCUGUUAAGUUAUUUUUC